rnacentral:misc_RNA from 1 species
GAUUAAGGCUUAGUUGUUGUUGUGUUGUUGUUGUUGUUUGUGAAUGUUAGGACAUAUUGAGGAUCAUCAACAAUCUUUUUUUUCUUAUAGUUAAUUGAUUCAUAUUUGGGUUGCUUGUUUGCUGAGAUAAAAGGGGAUGCUAGCAGAAAGGUUUUGUGGAUAGAAGAAAGCCUUCUUGGUAUAAUUGGAGAUUUUGGCAGUUUAUUCUGGAGAUCAUGUGAAUUUGGAAUCAUAAUUAUGAUCAAUAUUAUUUCAGGGAGAGUAGAAGAAUCUGGUGACUGUAUAUCACUAUAUUGUUUUGUUGCCUGCAAAUCCGUUUGAUGGCCUAAAAGGAAAUGUUUCUGCUUAUUUUGGGUAUUCUUUUUGGGUAUCACAUCAUUGCUAAAAUGUGUUGAGCUGAAUUAGUAAGUUGAAUGAGAUGACAUUGAACCCUGAAGAUAGUGAAUUACUUGUAGAUCAAGUUGUUGGUAGAUAAUUGAUUAGUAAUUUCUUUACCUGACAUGCAAACAAGUAGUCUGUUGAUUGCUCUGACGAAGGCUGAUAUGCUGUUGAUUGUAUCGCUGCUUAAUGGCCAUCUCUGAUUGAACAUUUUUAUUCAUUACAGUUUCGGGGGCUUUGGUAGAUUAGAAUUGUAAUAGUGCCAGGUGCUAAGUUGUUUUACUCUAUUGAAUUAUUUUUAUAUUCUGAUCCGGUUUGCAAUAUAAUGGUGUGAUGUUUGUAGAUGUAACAAUUUAUUUAAUUUUUAGUGUUGUAAUAGCUUUUAUUUGAAUGAGAUGCCUGUCAAACUCAUUAGUUCAUAGGGCAUUUUGUUUCACUAUUGUUCUCUUGGCCGUGUUCCGUCUUUGGUAGUGUUCAUCAGCACUAAAUGAUAGUUUCUUUCUAAUGUUUUGGAACAGAAAAGGGAGGCUCCACCUGGU